rnacentral:rRNA from 1 species
ACGUAGGAUGCAAGCGUUGUCCGGAUUUACUGGGCGUAAAGCGCGCGCAGGCGGCACUCUAAGUACGUCGUGAAAUAUCCCGGCUCAACCGGGAGGGUGCGAUGUAGACUAGGGAGCUAGAGGUCGGUAGAGGGGGGUGGAAUUGCUGGUGUAGCGGUGAAAUGCGUAGAUAUUGGGAGGAACACCAGUGGCGAAGGCGGUCCCCUGGGCCGGAACUGACGCUGAGGCGCGAAAGCGUGGGUAGCAAACGGGA